rnacentral:rRNA from 1 species
CCCUUAGAUGUUCUGGGCCGCACGCGUGCUACACUGAGUGGAUCAGCGGGUCAGGUUGCGCGAAAGCGUUUCCUAAUCUUUAAAUCCGCUCGUGAUGGGGAUUGACGGUUGCAAUUUUCUGUCAUGAACGAGGAAUACCUUGUAAGCGCGGGUCAUCAUCCCGCGCUGAAUACGUCCCUGCCCUUUGUACACACCGCCCGUCGCUCCUACCGAUUGAGUGGUCCGGUGAGGCUUUGGGAUCUGAGCGGAAAGAGCGUUUCGCUGUUUCUGCUCGGAAAACUCAGUCGAACCUUAUCAUUUAGAGGAAGGAGAAGUCGGAAC